rnacentral:rRNA from 1 species
CACGUAGGGGGCAAGCGUUGUCCGGAUUUAUUGGGCGUAAAGAGCUCGUAGGCGGUUCGGUAAGUCAGGUGUGAAACCUCCAGGCUCAACCUGGAGACGCCACCUGAUACUGCUGUGACUCGAGUCCGGUAGGGGAGCGUGGAAUUCCUGGUGUAGCGGUGGAAUGCGCAGAUAUCAGGAGGAACACCGGUGGCGAAGGCGGGUCUCUGGGCAGUAACUGACGCUGAGGAGCGAAAGCGUGGGGAGCGAACAGG